AGCUCAAAUUUGAAAGCUGGCUCCUUCGGAGUCCGCAUUGUAAUUUGCAGAGGAUGCUUUGGGUGCGGCCCCCGUCUAAGUGCCCUGGAACGGGCCGUCAGAGAGGGUGAGAAUCCCGUCUUGGGCGGGUGUCCGUGCCCGUGUAAAGCUCCUUCGACGAGUCGAGUUGUUUGGGAAUGCAGCUCUAAAUGGGUGGUAAAUUUCAUCUAAAGCUAAAUACUGGCCGGAGACCGAUAGCGCACAAGUAGAGUGAUGAAAGAUGAAAAGCACUUUGAAAAGAGAGUUAAACAGCACGUGAAAUUGUUGAAAGGGAAGCGCUUGCGACCAGACUCGCCCGCGGGGUUCAGCCGGCAUUCGUGCCGGUGUACUUCCCCGUGGGCGGCCAGCGUCGGUUUGGGCGGCCGGUCAAAGGCCCCUGGAAUGUAGUGCCCUCCGGGGCACCUUAUAGCCAGGGGUGCAAUGCGGCCAGCCUGGACCGAGGAACGCGCUUCGGCACGGACGCUGGCAUAUGGUCGUAAACGACCCGUCUUGAAACACGGACCAAGGAGUCUAACAUCUACGCGAGUGUUCGGGUGUCAAACCCGUGCGCGCAGUGAAAGCGAACGGAGGUGGGAGCCCCCUUGCGGGGCGCACCACGACCGAUCCUGAUGUCUUCGGAUGGAUUUGAGUAAGAGCGUAGCUGUGGGGACCCGAAAGAUGGUGAACUAUGCCUGAAUAGGGCGAAGCCAGAGGAA
rnacentral:rRNA from 1 species